rnacentral:rRNA from 1 species
CAANNGAGUGAUCGAAAGAUGAAAAGAACUUUGAAAAGAGAGUUAAAUAGUACGUGAAAUUGCUGAAGGGGAAGCAUUGGAAACCAGUCUUACCUUGGUGAGAUCAGCUGUUUACUUGUAGACAGUGCACUCUGAACCUAGGUAGGUCAGCAUCAGUUUUCGGGGACGGAAAAAGAAUAAGGGAAUGUGGCUUUUGGGCUUGCUCAGAAGUGUUAUAGCCNNNAUUGUAAUACGCCCNCNGGGGACUGAGGUCUGCGACUUUGUCAAGGAUGCUGACA